CGCACAUCUGGAAGGCUGCGACAGGCGAGAGUGACAUGAACGACAGGCAGAAAAAUACGACAGGCUGUCAGAGAUGCAAAAACAGGAAGAGGAAUGCAAGCGAAACAAAGUCAAAUACAGGGCGAUUUGUACAAAAUAUUUAAUAAUUAACAGCAAACACAACAACGGAAUCCGGAACGCUGUCAACUGCUGUUUAAUAUUUAAACGACCGCAAUUCAGAAGGACCAAAGUUAUACGAUGACUGAACAAAAAGGAGACAACAAGCAUCGGAAGGUAUUUAAGGAAACUGGAACCCACUAAAUAAGUACCCUCCCCUUCGUUUGUGGGCAUUAUAUCGGCGCGGUAUGUGCACAGUGAGCAGAACAUGAAACACCACCAGGCAGGCCACCCGUAUGUGAGGAUAAAGGGUGAUUAUGUCAGCGAUAUCUUCAGUGACGAGGAGAAGGGCUGGCUGUCUGUCAGCGAUGACGUAGUGAAGAGGUCAGAGGAGGCGCUGGUGAUGAAAAAGAGACGGAGCAGCGCGUACAUGCUGUUCUACACCCAGCAGGUAAAAAAGACACACUGAAUACAUUCUGUUAUAUUACACCCAGCAGCUAAAUACAGACAUGCUGGAUAAUGUCAAAGAAACAAAACACUCGCUUACACACCUUACAGCAAUAUGCCAAACCUACAGCAGUAUAGAAUGCAGUGUUUUGUAAUUUAUGCCACACUAAUAAAAGGCUGCCGGCUGGACCACUUGAUGCAUAUGUAAGGUAAUGUCGAAAGUGUAUUAAUUCGUAGGAAUCCUUCCAGAAAACUCCACUGAUGCCUCCAGACUGGGGACUGAUACUUGAAAAGCAGGUUAAUCUCCGUGUCUUCAGGUUUUCUCUGCUGAAAGACGAAGGACGUGGUAACGGUCAGUGUCUAAUUACAGGCACCUGAAGGACACGGAGGGGGUCCAGACACCUUUACCUGAACCUGCAGCGGAUAUCACCGCUGACUGGGGACAAUAGACUUCAGUAAAGUAAGCAAAUAAAGGAAUUGAUAGAUAGGUAAAUAAGGAAGUAUGCGUGCUUUGUCAAGUCCGGUCAUCUUAUUUAUGAAACACUAUUAAAAACAGCCAGUGGCUGAUCAAAGUGCUUUACAUCAAUCAAAACAAUAAGCAUAAAAACCGAGGGGAAAAAGUAAAUUACGUAAAGCAAAUAAAACAAAGGAAAAUGUAAAAUAUAAUAAAACAAACAGUACGCUUGCACAGAAUUGUAAUAAAACACACAGCACAUUAACCUAAAAAGCCUCAGCAAAUAAAUGAGUUUUUAGCCUGGACUUAAACCAUUGGGGCCGACCACGGAGAAAGUGCGAUCGCCUUUCGCCUCGCGUGUGGUGUGUUUGCGCACCAAAUUUAAUGAACAUAAGGAUUCCCUGAUUUAUACAGAUUACUAACUUUUGGGCAUCGCAGUACACAUCUCAUUAAUAUUUUAUGCCAAGGUCCUGAAAUGUCAGUGUCCGGACAAAUUUCUACGCCCGUUUUCUCAAGCCCAGAUUGAAGUAUCAGACACAUUUAACAAACGUGGGGACAAAGGUAUCACUUUAAAUUUGGGCUGAUGAGAGACCAGUUCCAGAGUAUCCAGGAACAGCUGGAUUACCCGAGUCAUACUUUGUCUGGCCACUCACAUAGGAUAGAUAACAAAGUUUCUUCUUAGAGGUGUGAAAAAUUGAGGCAUUUAUUGACAUAACAGAGUGAAAUAACAAGGGAACAACCCAGGAUGGAGGGCCAACCUUAGAUAACUCCA